UUUUUUAUUUAAUCCAAACCCAUUAAAAAUGUCUAAGCCGCCCAAUUAAUCCUCCACCAGCCCAUCGUCAUUAAACUAAAGAACCAAAUGUAUUUACAGGCAAGAGUUUCUUGGAGAACAGGGGGAGAGAGAGAGAGAGAGAGAGAGAGAGAGAGAGAGAGAGAAGGAGCUCGCCGGAGAGGGAAAGAGAGAGGAGUUUAGUAAACAAGUUAACCAGACCUGCAUGAAAUUUAAUUUUGUACCAUGAAGAGAUUGUCCCAACAAGCCGGUGCACGUCGCUUUUCAUUGUACAAGUUUAUGAAGUCUUCAGUCUGGUUUAUAGCCUGCUACAUGGCUCGAAGAGGCUACUGAGUAGCCUGCUCAGGGUCUAGGAGGCAAGAAGCUUAGACAUGACAGAUGGUGUGGAGUACUAAUUUUAAAUAAUUAUAAAUUCCAGCCGUUGAAGAAAUGGAAAGUGGUUUUGUAUCCCUGUGUAUCUAGUUAAUCAUUUUGAAAUGAAAACAACAACGCAAAGAUCGAUUUUGUCAGAACCAUAAACAAAAAGAGAAACUGAAGAAGAAAAACGUCGCAAAUCAAAAAGGAAGAUCCCAAAAAAUGCGUGAAAGAGGAAUUUACCUCGACGGACGAGGAAAAACUGAUAAUCUGCUUUUUGAUAAGAUUUUCUCUUUUUAGUGAGAAUAAAGCAUAAAUUUUUUUGCAAUUUUAAGAUGAUUUUAUUGAUGUUGAUCUGGAACUCAAAUACCAAAAAAACUCAAUUACUGCUCCGAUUAACUAGGAAGCGGUUUCUGGAAAUUAAAGCAUAAAGGAUAAAGUUUAGACUAAGUAUUGGCAAUGACUAGCACAUUUGCUCGGUUCCCUUUUCCUCACGUUUUUCUUCUUUAGUUGCACUUCGUCUUUUAUUCAUUCCUAUUCUGGACGUGCUCUCCUUCGGGAUAUUCUACUAGUCCUUUGGGGCUUAUCAGUAUCCUCCUCUUUCACUUGAACCUUAUCCUCAAGGUUUAGACCUGGAAACCUUUUCAAUUGACUCCAGAUAUCUUUGUAAUGAAUCACGAAGUUAGCGAAGUAUUGUAGCUUCUUUGUCUUUCAAUCACAACUUUUUAUCACUACAUAAUUGGAUGGGUUGCAGUGCUUGUUCAACUUAAG
rnacentral:lncRNA from 1 species